CCUACGGGAGGCAGCAGUGAGGAAUAUUGGUCAAUGGACGAAAGUCUGAACCAGCCAUGCCGCGUGCAGGAUGACUGCCCUAUGGGUUGUAAACUUCUUUUGUAUGGGGGUAAAUUGUUACACGUGUAUGGUUUUGUAUGUACCAUAUGAAUAAGGAUCGGCUAACUCCGUGCCAGCAGCCGCGGUAAUACGGAGGAUCCGAGCGUUAUCCGGAUUUAUUGGGUUUAAAGGGUGCGUAGGCGGUUUGUUAAGUUAGUGGUGAAAGUCUGGGGCUCAACCGUGGAAUUGCCGUUGAUACUGGCAGGCUAGAGUACAGUAGAGGUGGGCUGAA
rnacentral:rRNA from 1 species